rnacentral:rRNA from 1 species
UACGGGGGGGGCAAGCGUUGUUCGGAAUUACUGGGCGUAAAGGGCUCGUAGGCGGCCAACUAAGUCAGACGUGAAAUCCCUCGGCUUAACCGGGGAACUGCGUCUGAUACUGGAUGGCUUGAGGUUGGGAGAGGGAUGCGGAAUUCCAGGUGUAGCGGUGAAAUGCGUAGAUAUCAGGAGGAACACCAAUGGCGAAGGCAGCUCGCUGGGACGGUACUGACGCUGAGACGCGAAAGCGUGGGGAGCAAACAGG